GCGAGAAGCGCAGUGCCAGAAAGAGAGGGGGAGAAAUGAAAGCAUGCCAGCUAUGCAUAGGGGAAUAUUAUCUUGAUUUGAAAACAUUCCAGUACACAGAUCUCUGUUCUCACGCAGAUGUGCAGGAAGUGGCAGGCAGGGACAUCAUGCACCCCAAAAAUCUGAGCGGGAACAACGUACAGCUGGACAAAUCUGAGGGGGCACAUGCCGCUAUGGGCAUGAAGCCUGUGGGGGUGGGGAUAAUGACACAGCGAGAGCCAAUGGGUACAGUGCCACGAGCUGUUCUCUCCCUUACCGUCAGGCAGACGGUAUCGGAGGAUGACCAACAGGCUCAGAGACGGUUUCUAUCUGCAAGCCAUCAGACUGCUGAACACGUGAACUCUACUGACCACCUGCUCCGAUUCUCCGCACCUUAGCACAUCACAACUGCUGCUACCAGACUUAUACUUAUACCAGAUUAUACUGCUCAAUUUAUACAUUUGCACCCCAUCCCCCCCUUCCCCAAAACACAUGUACCCCUGUAUAUAUUUUACUAUAAAUUGUGCCUUUCUGUAUUAUACUUAUGAUAUGUUUAUACUAUUCUACUUCCAUUGACUUUAUGUUGUAAAAAAAUUGUGUUGUUGUUGUUGCAUUGUCGAGAAGGAAACUACAAGUAAGCAUUUCUUUAGACGAUGUAUACCAUAUUUACGACUAAUACAACUUGAAACUUGAAGUGUAGUUGAGGUACUUGAUAUUGGUACAUUUCUUUGCUAUAAGGCUAAAGUUAGAAUUGGUGGUCAAGUUAGAAUUGGCCAUCGUCUGAAGAAUCGUUGUCAGUUAUUUUUCAUAACCCACGAAUGCAUGGCCAGGUUCGACUCCAACACCAUCAUCAAGUUUGCAGACGACACAACAGUGGUAGGCCUGAUCACCGACAACAAUGA